GAUGAACGCUAGCUACAGGCUUAACACAUGCAAGUCGAGGGGAAACGAUAGAGAAAGCUUGCUUUUUCUAGGCGUCGACCGGCGCACGGGUGAGUAACGCGUAUCCAACCUGCCCAUCACUUGGGGAUAACCUUGCGAAAGUAAGACUAAUACCCAAUGAUAUCUCUAGAAGACAUCUGAAAGAGAUUAAAGAUUUAUCGGUGAUGGAUGGGGAUGCGUCUGAUUAGCUUGUUGGCGGGGUAACGGCCCACCUAGCCGACGAUGGAUAGGGGUUCUGAGAGGAAGGUCCCCCACAUUGGAACUGAGACACGGUCCAAACUCCUACGGGAGGCAGCAGUGGGGAAUAUUGGGGCAAUGGGGCGCAAGCCUGACCCAGCAACGCCGCGUGGAGGAAGACGGCCCUACGGGUUGUAAACUCCUUUUACCUCGGGAAUAACGGGCGCUACGCGUAGCGCUGUGCAUGUACCGGGAGAAUAAGCAUCGGCUAAUUCCGUG
rnacentral:rRNA from 1 species